rnacentral:rRNA from 1 species
UACGGAGGAUGCGAGCGUUAUCCGGAUUUAUUGGGUUUAAAGGGUGCGUAGGCGGGAUGCCAAGUCAGCGGUAAAAAUGCGGUGCUCAACGCCGUCGAGCCGUUGAAACUGGCGUUCUUGAGUGGGCGAGAAGUAUGCGGAAUGCGUGGUGUAGCGGUGAAAUGCAUAGAUAUCACGCAGAGCUCCGAUUGCGAAGGCAGCAUACCGGCGCCCUACUGACGCUGGGGCACGAAAGCGUGGGUAUCGAACAGG